rnacentral:rRNA from 1 species
GCCGCCUACGGGACGCAGCAGUGAGGACUCUUGGUCAAUGUUCGAGAGCCUGAACCAGCCAAGUCGCGUGAGGGAUGACUGCCCUAUGGGUUGUAAACCUCUUUUGUAUGGGGGGAAUAAGCUUUACGAGUAGAGUGAUGACAGUACCAUACGAAUAAGCAUCGGCUAACUCCGUGCCAGCAGCCGCGGUAAUACGGAGGAUGCGAGCGUUAUCCGGAUUUAUUGGGUUUAAAGGGUGCGUAGGCGGCAUUAUAAGUUAGUGGUAAAAUAUUGGGGCUUCACCUCACUACGCCAUUAAUACUGUA